rnacentral:rRNA from 1 species
AGAGUUUGAUCAUGGCUCAGAACGAACGCUGGCGGCAGGCUUAACACAUGCAAGUCGAACGCUCGUAGCAAUACGGGAGUGGCGGACGGGUGAGUAACGCGUGGGAACGUGCCCUGAGGUACGGAAUAACUGCGGGAAACUGCAGCUAAUACCGUAUGAGCCCCGCAAGGGGGAAAGAUUUAUCGCCUUGGGAGCGGCCCGCGUCGGAUUAGCUAGUUGGUGGGGUAACGGCCUACCAAGGCUUCGAUCCGUAGCUGGUCUGAGAGGACGAUCAGCCACACUGGGACUGAGACACGGCCCAGACUCCUACGGGAGGCAGCAGUGGGGAAUCUUGCGCAAUGGGGCAACCCUGACGCAGCCAUGCCGCGUGAAUGAUGAAGGCCUUAGGGUUGUAAAGUUCUUUUGCCCGUGACGAUGAUGACGGUAACGGGAGAAUAAGCUCCGGCUAACAUCGUG